rnacentral:rRNA from 1 species
GAUAAACGCUGGCGGCGUGCCUAACACAUGCAAGUCGAACGCGCUACGCAAGUAGCGAGUGGCGGACGGGUGAGUAGCACAUGGGUACCUACCGUGGGGUGAGGAAUACCACCGAGAAAUCGGUGACAAGACCGCAUAGCUUUCGUGCUUUGGCGCGAAGGAAAGUCGCGCAAGUGACGCCACACGAUGGGCCUGUGCCUGAUUAGCUGGUUGGUGGGGUAAGAGCCUACCAAGGCGACGAUCAGUAGCUGGUCUGAGAGGAUGAUCAGCCACACUG